rnacentral:rRNA from 1 species
AUUGAACGCUGUCGGCAGGCCUAACACAUGCAAGUCGAACGAGUGGCGGACGGGUGAGUAAUGUCUGGGAAACUGCCUGAUGGAGGGGGAUAACUACUGGCAACGGUAGCUAAUACCGCAUACCAUCGGAUGUGCCCAGAUGGGAUUAGCUAUUAGGUGGGGUAAAGGCUCACCUAGGCGACGAUCCCUAGCUGGUCUGAGAGGAUGACAAGCCACACUGGAACUGAGACAAGGUCCAGACUCCUACGGGAGGCAGCUGUGGGGAAUAUGGAACAAUGGGCGCAAGCCUGAUGCAGCCAGUACGCGUGUAAGAAGAAGGCAUUCGGGUUGUAAAGUACGUUCAGCGGGGAGGCGUUACCCGCAGAAGAAGCACCGGCUAACUCCGGGCUAGCAGCCGCGGUAAUAA